GAUUUUGUGGGUCUAGGGGUAUGAUUCUCGCUUAGGGUGCGAGAGGUCCCGGGUUCAAAUCCCGACGAGCCCA
rnacentral:tRNA from 1 species